ensembl:snRNA U6 U6 spliceosomal RNA
AUCAGUUUGGCCAGGAAAUUCAGCUGAUUAAAAUUGGAAUGAUACAGAGAAGAUUAGCAUGGCCUCUGCACAAGGAUGACACUCAAAUUCAUGAAGCAUUUCAUAUUUUU